GAGGGUAUAGCUCAAUGGUAGAGUGCAUGCUUAGCAUGCAGGAGGCCCUGGGUUCAAUCCCACAUACCUCCA
rfam:Camelus ferus unplaced genomic scaffold scaffold19572, whole genome shotgun sequence.